UACGUAGGAGCCGAGCGUUGUCCGGAGUUAUUGGGCGUAAAGCGCGCGCAGGCGGCUUCGCGCGCCCGACGUGAAAGCCCCCGGCUUAACCGGGGAGAGUCGUUGGGGACGGCGGGGCUUGAGGGCGGGAGAGGUCGGUGGAAUUCCCGGUGUAGUGGUGAAAUGCGUAGAGAUCGGGAGGAACACCUGUGGCGAAGGCGGCCGACUGGGCCGACCCUGACGCUGAGGCGCGAAGGCGUGGGGAGCGAACAGG
rnacentral:rRNA from 1 species